CGGGGGAGGCCAGAUCCUGGGCUGUUUCCUGGCGCCCUGUGCUCCGGGGCCUGCGCUGUUGGAUUCGGGCUCCCGCUGCGCAGCCCCCU
rnacentral:pre_miRNA from 1 species